CCUGGCGGCGAUAGCGCGGUGGUCCCACCUGACCCCAUGCCGAACUCAGAAGUGAAACGCCGUAGCGCCGAUGGUAGUGCGGGGUCUCCCCAUGCGAGAGUAGGGAACUGCCAGGC
rnacentral:rRNA from 1 species